GGUCAACUGCUUUAUUUUUUUCUGCAAAAAAAAAAUGUAUCAAACCAGCAAUCAUUAAAUGCAUAAUCUCAACUUAUUUGAAUCAUAUAAUAAAAUUACAAAUAUAAAAAUGCGUUAUAUACUGCAAUUUUUCAUUCCAUUCCAUAAUGGAAAGAAAAACAAAACACACCAUGAGUGAUAAAUGAAAAUUAACAAAAAUAUAUUCAAGAAUGGAAUAAACCAUUGAAUUCUUUUUCUGAUUCUAUCAUACCAAACACUAGGGUAAACUAACCUUUAACAUUUUGAGGGGUAAUAGAGCCUCAUAACUGCAAAAAUAAACCAAUAUAUACAAUUAUUAAAUUGGUAACAUAAUGAAAAUGGAAAGGCAAUGCUAUUAAAUCAUAAAACUGAAAAUGACCUGAGAGAAGAGCAGGGAAAAACUAACCUUGUAACUUUCCAUGUCGAAACAAGUUGUGUGACACGAAAUGGCACCCAGAAAUUAGUCGUUUCAUUUCUUAAAAUAGAAAAAAAAAAAAUUGAAGAUUUGAUCGAAUUUAAGACUUGUUAGAUUGAUGCUUGAUAUAUGUCACAUUGCAAAUUUUUUAGUAACAUCAUUAAAAAUGUAAAAAGUAAGAAAGAUAAAAAUUUGUCACGUGUUUGCCAUGUCAGAUGUCACAUUAUUUAAUGGAAUGGAAUGCGAUAGAAAAUUCUUGAAAGGACGUGAUUCCCUCCAUUUUGUUAAUUUUCAUUCACGUGUUCUUUCAUUUGCAUCACAGAAUGGGAUUGGGGUAUUGUUAACUUGUUAAUUAAAUUGAUUCCUUUUGAAAUUUCAGAAAUUUUAAUUGGAUUAUAAUCAAGUUUUCUAAAAUUAAC
rnacentral:lncRNA from 1 species